GUCAUACUCCCUCCGUUCAGAAAUACUUGUCCUAGAAAUGGAUGAAUCUAGAUUUAUUUUAGUUAUACAUACAUCCAUCAUAUCAGUUUUUAGGACAAGUAUUUCCGGACGGAGGGAUUAUUAC
rfam:Hordeum vulgare subsp. vulgare, WGS project CAJW01000000 data, contig: morex_contig_1621982